UUUCGAAUCAUUCACAAUGGGCGAAAGCCUGAUGGUGCGACGCCGCGUGAGGGAUGAAGGUCUUCGGAUUGUAAACCUCUGUCACCGGGGAAGAAACGCUUUGAGUUAAUAGUUCAAAGCCUGACUUAACCCGGAGAGGAAGCAGUGGCUAACUCUGUGCCAGCAGCCGCGGUAAUACAGAGACUGCAAGCGUUAUUCGGAUUCACUGGGCGUAAAGGGUGCGCAGGCGGCCGUGUGUGUGAGGCGUGAAAGCCUGGAGCUUAACUCCAGAAUUGCACCUCAAACUACACGGCUAGAGCAUUGGAGAGGGUAGCAGAAUUCACGGUGUAGCAGUGAAAUGCGUAGAUAUCGUGAGGAAUACCAGAGGCGAAGGCGGCUACCUGGACAAUUGCUGACGCUCAGGCACGAAAGCGUGGGGAGCAAAAG
rnacentral:rRNA from 1 species